CCCACUUUGCAUUCAAAACCAGAAUUAUAGGAGCUUUGUGUUGACCUACAAAGGAUAAAAUUUUAAUAGAUAAAGUUAACAGCUUAAAUAUCACUUACGCCACCAAAUAGAGAAAAAGAUUUACACUAUCUGUGCGUAAAACUUAAACCCUUUUAACUUUAUUUUAUAUUAAUUCCUCACCUUCUGUCUCGUUGGAAGCUUUAAAAGGAAGAGAGCCACAAUUUUCUUUGACCUUCCUUCUCUCCUAGCCACUAAGAUAUACAGUACUGGUCAAAAAGAGCAUAUUUAUAGCUCAAAAUUUUGCCUUUUUCUGUUGUAAACGUGAUUGUUUCUUACUUGGAUUCUUGUUCUAUAUAUUUACGGGAGAAAAGAGCAAUUUGCAUGCUCCUAAAUCUUUUAUUUUCUGGUGAAAAAUUGGUCUUUAAUUGGCUGGGAAUUAUUUUUUAGAUGCUACAACCUUGACAAACACCUAAGAAUAUUUUAGUGACAAUGGCUUGUUCUUUGAGUACUGGUUUUUCUGUUUCUGGUCCCUGUUUCAACGCCACAGCCAAAGAGUCUCGUCGUCAUUGCCCUUCGAUUGGCACUCUGCAACUUAAAGAUUUAGCAUCCAGAGAAUUUCUAGGCAAACCCUUGGAUUAUGCAUCAGAUCAUAUUGGUACUAACCAUUGGAAUGUUGAACGACUUUCUGUAUGUAAAUCUCUGAUACAUUUGCUUCUGUGUUUAUACUUGGUGUUUUCAUGUUUUCAUUCUUGUUUUAAAUUUUUCGAGAUCAAAUCAUUUAUAAGUAUUUAUUCUAAUGAUUUUAGGCACAAGUAUCAAUCGCUGCUCAGAGAUGGUGGGAGAAGACCCUUAAACCCAACAUGGUAGAGAUCAAUUCAGCACAACAACUUGUUGAUUCAUUAUUAAAAGCUGGUAAUAGAUUGGUCAUAAUUGACUUCUUCUCUCCUAGCUGUAGAGGUUGCAAGACUUUACAUCCUAAGGUAAGAUAUAUAGCAAUGCAAAAAACAAAAAAAAAAAAAAAAAACCAACAACUACAUCGUAAUCCUAAGCAAGUUAGGGUUAACUAUAUGAAUCAUCACUAGACGGAUCCAUUUAAACAUUAUUUACUAAUUAAAUAAAAAGAACUUAGAAGUUAUAACUGGUACUAAUUGAUGUUUGCAGAUCUCUCAGUUAGCUGAAUCAAACCCCAAUGCCAUAUUCCUCAAAGUAAACUACGAAGAACUGAAAACCAUGUGCAAUGCUCUUAAUAUACCUGUCUUACCCUUCUUCAGAUUCUAUAGGGGUGCACAAGGCAAAGUUUGUAGCUUCAGCUGUACCAAUGCAACAGUAAGUAUUUCAAAGUUACAACAGUAAUUUUUUGUGGGUUCAGUUAGACCUAUUACCUUCGAUUCCAAGUUUCCAACUAUGUAUACAUAUGUAAAAAUAUUUAAAAUUUAAAUAUAUAAUAAUAUCACAUUCGGCCAAGGGUCUUUCGAUAAAAACAAUCUCUCUACCGUUAUAAGUUAAGGGGUAACGUCUGUGUACGUUCUACUCUCCCCAUGCCCUACUUGUGAGAUUUCAUUGGUUUUUUUGUUGUUGUUUGUUGUAGUAAUAAUAUGACAUUCAUUCUGAACUCAGAUCCUUUGUAUGUCCUAUUACUGCCCAACCCUCAAGUUGGUCAUUGAUAUUUUACUUUCUCUAUAGAUUAGUUUACUGAAUUAUUUAAUUUAUCACAUAACUAAAAUAGUAAAUAUUGUAGUUUGUCAUGGUAAAAUUUGUACUUUGCAGAUAAAGAAAUUCAAAGAUGCAUUAGCAAGAUAUGGGAAAGAUCAGUGUAGUCUUGGUCCAGCAAGAGGUUUAGAUGAAUCUGAGCUUUUAGCCUUAGCUUCAAUUGGAGAAUUAUCAAGAAAGGAUUGUACAAGGAAAGAUAUAUUCCAAGAAUCAGCCUUUACAGGAGUAGUAGAUAUGUACUAUAGCACUUUGGAGCUAAAAGAAGGUACGGAUUUUGUGAUGGCUUAGAUAAGAGAUUUGGAAAAAAGAUUUCUUAAUUUUAUGGAGUGAAAACCAACUGCAAAGAAUUUCAGCAAUUCUGGUUGAACGAAGCACUUCUGCUUUGAGCAUGUAUAUAUAUUAGCAAUGGGAUUUUCAUCUCUCUGCCAUUUGGGGUAUCGUAUGUUUAAUUUGGAUUAGGAGUCCGAGACGAAAAUAUUCCUUUUGAUUGGUUCCGUAAGAAUAAUAGUAGAAUGAUUAAUUUCUAGUACACAGUUACCUUGGAUUAUUACCUGGGGGAUAUUGCUCGAACAAAUGCAAAAUGAUUUACUUUUGUGACUAAGGUAAAAAGUCGCUUGGAGGGUUGGGAGGACGAGAAAAAAGAAACGUUAACUGAAGAUCAUGCAUAGAUUAAUCUUGUCCAACAACGAAAGCUAGGUAGAGGACAUGGAAUGAGAAUUAAAAGGAUUAUUUUAUGUGAGGGCCUAACUUAGAUUUGGAGGGACAAGAGGCUUGGCAAUAUGUUUUUGUUUUGAUAUUUGUAACGACAAUCUCGAAAGAUUAUAAUUAGAGACCAGAUGAAAAUUUAGAGACCAAAAAAGAAGAGAACAGUUUAAAACUUAAUCACUCCGUUCCAGUUUAUGUGAACCUAUUAUCCGUUCCAAAAAGAAUGACCCAUUUCUAAAUUUGAAAACAAUUUAGCUUAAACUUACAAUUAUGAAAGCUUUUAUAACCACACAAAUAAUCUGGACCCCUUUAUGACUUAUUUAGGACCAAUUUUUUUCUUAAAAAACAUGCUCAGUCAAACAGGUUCACAUAAAUUGGAAUGGGGGAAUAGUUGUUGCAUAUAAAGAUAUACGUACCCAAACCGGAUACGGUUGCUCAAUUUACAUACCAAACUACUACAUUAUAGGAAACGAAAGAAUGUAUAGAAAAUCUGAGAGGCUUUAAAGGGAAAACAUGUAGAACUGUAUUCACAAAUUUUAGGCUUACUUGGGCAUGGUUUAAUACCACCUCGGACAACAAAGAAAAAUGGACAUUAAAGAGAAAAGGUACAUGUAAAAAUAAACUCCCAUACCAUCAUCAACCUACCUUAAACCAAGUAAAAUUUACAUCAUUGCCUAUCUUAGCCUGCUCAAAUCAGCUCAAAAUCCAGAAAAUUACUGAGUAUUAAAAGAAUGCAUCAAGAAUAACUACCAAAAAUGUUUUGGAACGGACCAAAAAUAAGAAAGAUUUUAGGUCCGUUCCAAAACAUACUACUAAAAGAAUGCAUCAAGAAUAACUAGCAAAACAUGAUGUCAUCAUAAAGUUUUAUAUAUAAAAAGCCAAUAAAAUCUCUUAUGCAAAGCUCUGUAUCUGAUAUUUCUUGUAGUGCAACAAGUAUGAGACCUCAAAAAAGCCUUCAUCAUUCAUAAGAAAGAUGAUCACAUGCGAUGCCACUGGAGCCCAACAAAUGAGAAGGCUUCAACAGAUAGCAUCAUUCAAAUCUCCGUUCUUAAUUGGCAAUCAUCAGGCUUCAACCAAAAGACAAAUAGGUGCAAGAAACAAUAACACUGAGAAUACCAACCACAAUAGAGUAAAAGAUCAAAAUGAAAGCCGAAAAAAAAUAUGCCUCAGAGUCAGAGGUAGUGACAAUUAAGUAUCAUCAUCUUUAUACAUCAAAAUAAUACGUGCAUAAUGCAAACAUCCCCAGCACAUUUAGACAAGAUGAAGAAUAACACUUACAUGAUCAACAAAACAAUGGAUGAGUUAUUGUGCUUCUGUCAUAUAUGCAUGCAAACGAAGAAUGCCACGACCCCUCAAAAGUAAUUUCAAGGUAAACAAACAAGAAAAAAUUAGUAUGCAAGUUAAUAGGUGACAAUUAUAAACAUAAUCAUUCCUGUUUAAGAUAAUAUGAACCACAAAGACAAUUACAAAAUAAACAAAGCCAAAGGAGCAACAUAAAAGCAAACUAGCAAAUUCAAAAUAUUUAAGGCCUCCCCUGCGGAGGUGAUUUAUAAUAACAAUCAUUCAGCUAUCACUCUGUGUGCAACAAAUGCAGUACUAGUGAUUCCUUAAAUCUAAAGAUCACAAAUUUAUUUCUAGGAAACACUUAUUUAACCAAAAAAUACAACUUUUAAAGCAGACUUAUAAGACACUUUAUUCUAGCAAUUAAUUAAUCACUACUUUUAGGUUAAGGAAACAUAAUUACACAUCAGAUACGAACAAUAAAAGGAAUACAAACACAAAACAGGUACAACUGUAUUGCUAGCCUACACUGUAAUGAAAAAUAUUAGUCUCAAGCAUCAGAGAGAUUCCCAUCGACAAAUCAUCAUCCCCUGUAAGGAGUGCUGAUGUCCCUGUCUGUUUUAUCAUCAUUGCAAGGACUAAUGCAAAAAAAAAAAUGUAAAACCAAAAAAAGGACAUUUUUGAAAAGGGGUUGUCUACAGAUGUCUAACAAGAAACCAACUUUCAUCAUAUGCCUCAAUUAAUUAACGCAAAUUCAACUAAUCAACACCAUUAGUUAUCUGAUUUCAUGAAAUAAGGUGAAAAGGCUCAAACAAAUAUGAAAAUACCAAAAGAGAAACUGAUAAAGCCUCAAGCCUCAGAUUAAAAUUUGAUUCAUAGUAAAAAUACUCAAAGUAUAUUUAAUGCCAUCAUAGGCAGAGGCAGAUCAUUGUUCAGCUCACAAUUGAAUGCAAGAAAAAAAACAUAAGCAAAAACUCAAGGGACAAAAGAAAAAGAAAAAGACAGAGAUGAACAAGAGAAAUUGAUACCCGAAGCGGCGAGCUUAGAGUUUUAGAACUUUGAUGGCUAGGGUUUUUGAGUCUGCCGUAUGGGUUUAAAUAGGUGUAACACAAACUUCGGGUUUAUUCAUAGCAAAGAGGGGGAAUAUAUUUGCUAUGAUACCCCUGAAGUUAUACUGUAUUAUUAAGUG
rnacentral:lncRNA from 1 species